AGGUGAUCAUUCUAGUUUGUCAGUUAUUAAAUCUUACCUCUACAGAUCCAUUCGUGGUUAUAAAUAUUCCUGGCUGAGAACUUUGAUUUCAGGCUGUAAUAGCCUCACAGAAUCCUCUAUAUCUGAAUGAGUCCAAAAAUCAAGGUCGGAACCACUGGUUUUCGGGGUUUUGACAUAACACUUUUGGAGCUAUACAGUACCUGCUCCCAUUAACUUUCAUUGAACAGAGAAGAGCAGAAGAAGAACAUCUCUUGCUGUGGAGAACAAACAACAUGAGGCUGCUCAGAGCAAGCGCCACCCUUUUAUCUACUCAAACCAAAAUAUCAAAGAACCGUUGAGGACACGUUGUCAUUUCUCAUGUGUCCAUUGCAUUUAUGCUUGAACAUACAAGUGAACAGAUGUGACUAAGACACUACAGCACUUAAGCCAACAGUGACUUUAACCCCUCUUAAAGUGUUUCCCACAGUGCUUGGCAGUCCAGCGGGUCACACAAUCCCAUCUAUUAGCCUCCUGCUCUAGUGACCUGCAGGAGGCCAGCAGAUUACGGCUACGUGUCUUUGCUCGCUGUGAUUUCCUGCUACCAAUGCCAAGUCAACAUAUGCCUAAGGAGACUAGCGGCUUUUAGACGCAAGACCCAAACUGAGCCAGAGAGCAGAACCUUCCAGCACGAGCUCAGGCUGAAAGUUGAUCACAAUUAGGAAAUCCUGGGCCACCCAUUGGAGCUGAUAGGAAGGUGUCGCUUUUAAAAUAGAGAUGUGAGCAAGGCCGGGAACAAAGAACAGUUGCUGAGUAUAGCAGAGAAGAAGGGGCACUGAGUGAUAACAUGCACGUAAAAAUGACCAUGUUAUUGCCAUGUUUUGGGCAUGGUACUGUGGUAAUACCAAGGUAUUCUUUGAAAUAAAUACACCACAAUGAUGUUCAAGUAUCUUUUAAAAAGUACCAUGGUACUAACGCGUCUUUUGUUAUUUUGAUAUGUGAUUUUGACA